rnacentral:rRNA from 1 species
UACGGAGGGUGCAAGCGUUAAUCGGAAUUACUGGGCGUAAAGCGCGCGUAGGCGGCCACGCAAGUCGGAUGUGAAAGCCCCGGGCUUAACCUGGGAAUUGCAUUCGAUACUACGUAGCUGGAGUGUGGUAGAGGGAAGCGGAAUUCCGGGUGUAGCGGUGAAAUGCGUAGAUAUCCGGAGGAACACCAGUGGCGAAGGCGGCUUCCUGGAUCAACACUGACGCUGAGGCGCGAAAGCGUGGGGAGCAAACAGG